GGAUGCAGUGGCCCGCCCCCUGGCAGCCCCCUUUCCCGCCCGGGGCUUCCACCAGGCUGUCUAUGAGUCGCGUCGCAGUCGACGGCAGUUUCCGCCGUCAAUUUAUAAACGCGUUCAGCUUAAAUUGCAACAAAUAGUCGCCUAUUGAAACUUAAAUUGUACCGACACAGAAAGUGAGCGCACCAUUUGCGCGAGCGAGAGGGGCGCUCUUGGCCAGAAAGAGACUGGAUGACAUGGCCAUGCUUUGGCUUUGGCUUUAGCUUUGCGUUUGGGCCGUGUCAACAAGUUUGGCCCUCUCCCUGUCUCGCUCUUGGCCAUUUUUGUACUUUCGGCUCUGUUGUUUUGUGUCAGUUGUUGACGUCGUUUGGCGGCUGUGUGGUCGUGGCUUGAUUUGUUUAAAGGUUUCUGGUUCUGGGCAUCGCUUGGCUCAAUCGGCCGGUGGUCAUGGGAACGGGGAGUUUGCCAAUGUUUCGAUGUGUUUUCCGGAUAAGGUUGGCUAGAAUCACAAUAGCAGUUGCGCGUUAUAUGUACGUACAUGUAGGCUGUUAUUUUUGAUGUCUAAUCAAACGUAUUAUAUAAGACGAGAACUUAUCAGGGUAUCUCAAUUGGAACUCCAGGCACUGCCAAUUAACUCUGGCUGCCAUUUCCUUGGCUAUUUCUUCCAAUCUCCCAAUCAAAAGCCCGCAUGUUCUGGCCGUAAUCCAGCCGAAAUCAAAGCAAGCCAAACUCGUUUAUGGCCAACUUUGGACGGCGGAAUCCAGGUAAGCCUCAGCGGCUUUUGCUGACAGGAGGAGAGGUUGGCAGAGGCGGUAGAGGCGGUAGAGGCGGCAGAGGCCGUAGAAAGCCGCAACAGGCAGAGCAAAUUUCGCCGACAGCCGGCCGCUGCAAUAUAAUUUCUUUCGAUUAAUCCAAUCGAUUUCUAUUCAAUAAAUCAAAAUAUGAAUUCGUUACGGCUCCGACCCCUCGACUAGCCUAGACACUCCGCAGAUGUGUGUAGUAUGUGCGAGCGAGUGUUCGUUUGAGGCACGUAACAAAUCGUUGGGUUAAUUAAAAAAACAUAAAUCGUUUUAUUCUUUAUCCACACUCACUGCGCCCCUCGGCGGCUAAAUAACCGUGGCAGGUAUUUGACGGCCCUUUCAUCAACUGAAAUCAGUCAAAGUUCCCCGCGCUAAAGAAAUGUUGGGAAAUAAAUCACGCUCUUUUCGCCAGAAAUAAUUUCACUUUAGACACUUUUUCCCACUGCCUUACUGCCCAUAAUUUUUAAUUUUAGCAGCCCUCUGUUUUGAUAAUGCAAACUAAAUCGCUUAGCCAAGCAAAUUGUUGGCCAUUAAGGUGUUUUGAUGACUUUUAGCCCCUGGAAACUUGAUCUGCCCAUCAGACACUUAAAUUUUGUUUGCCAGCCUCCGCUGAACCAAUCAAAACGAAUUAACAAACUUUAGUUGUAAAUAUUCAUGACAAAGUUCCAGAUACAAUGCCAAUCGGCUGGAGGGUCCGUGAAAAAUGCGUUUAAUUAAAAGAUCAAAAAUCUGCGAACUUAAUUUGCAUUUCAGUCAAAGCGGAACGAGCGGAAUGGAACAGUCAGCUUAGACCGUGUGGGAACCAUAUCGAUUGGGACGGAAAUCAGUCCAAGGUUUCGAAUUGGUUUCCAAUCGGAGCAGGAAAUCGAAUUUAUCUAAAUAAAGUGUUGAACAAACGACGCAUUCGAUGGCUUUGGUUGGAACUCAGAGCAUCGGAAUUUCAAAAUAAUGUGUUCUAUUUCACAGAUAUAUUUUGGGGUAAUCAGGGUGUUUUCAAGGAUCAA